CCCACGUGGUUUCAUCGAAGCUGUACGUCACACUCGAGAAACGACAGACGAGCGAAUCAGACCGCACGCACUUUGCACGACGCCGAAUCUAUAUUCAAGAAAAACUACGAUAAACGCUCGCAUACGAAUUUUCUCAAUUUCUCUCUCCAAAGGAAUCAACAAUUCUCCAAAGCAGCACGGGAAUUCACAGUUAAAUGAGUCGAUCGGAAAAAUCGUACAGGGGCACGCGUGUGCACGGUUGAUGAAAAUUCGAAAAAAAUGACUCCCGCCUCUCCGUGCGGUAUCUCUUUUGUACAGCUGUUGGACGAGAGCGACGGACACACGCGAGUCUGCACAGUGAACGAGCUCGUGGUGAAAGCUGAUACUGCAUUUAUUAAUCAUCGAAAUCAUCGCACAGCGAUUCCAUUUACGCGCUUUGCUCUCGCAUAAAUAAUAAUAGGAUAAGUAAUGCAAUCAGCUGAUGUGAAAAUAUAUGCACUCCUACAAGGCAGUAAAUAUGUUUUCCUUUUGAUGCCAAAUGAAAUAUGUAUCAUUUUAUGGCGAUGCAAAAGAUCCAGGAACAGGAAUAAACAGCUGAUAUGCGUCUUGUCAAUUACAAGUAUACGAAAUUGGCACGAAGUGAAGACGCAUGAAAGAACUGCCAGGUCGAGACGUCUUGGAGUGCAUAAUUGAAAGAUCUAUUUUACAUCCUUGGGACUGUGCUUUAUGCUCUGCGAACCUAUUAACCAAUGGCAAAUGUACGAAAAGAUGCUUGGAAUAAUUCCGAAACGUCGAGAAUAAGAAUUUCCUCGUCGGGAAACGUUGAGAAAUGUUCGCAAAUCGUAAUUCGAGCGCGUGACGGUAAGUUCCGGAAACUGGAAGGCUCGAAAGGGUACGCUCUUGAUAAGGGAUGUUGCGAGAGUGGUGGAACUGGAUGGCACGUCGAGAGCAAAGUUCAUCUCUCUUCCCCGAUGGCUCUUACGCUAGUCCUCGACCGCAAGGAUCCACUUAUCUCCUGGCUUCCUGUGCCCCGCGUCAAGAGCAUAUAUGUAUUAUUUAGGAUCUUAACAACCGAAAGGGCGUAUAAACAUUAAUUCGAGGGAUUAAGCAGCUAAGUUACGACCGUUAAACUUGAAGCCAUACGAGACAUAAUGGUAACACCCUCUAGGAUGGUAUAGAGACGAGACCCUCGCUAAUACUUUGGCCCCUUGUAACUCAUCCCCAGGCUUUCUGUAACACAUAUAUAGACGCUCAUAUGUAUACAUGUAUACGAAGAGCCAGUGUCACUAUAAAUGUGGAAUCGGACGAGAAUGUCUGCCAUCUUCUCGAGCACCACACGGAUUAACUCUCGACAACUAAGUACAUUCUUCGCUUAUCACAUCUCCCACGUAUGAUACAAUGAUCUUUACGAUUGGAUUUUGGAACCCCUUCAAACUCGUGGAGAUUGAGCUGUGCACUCAGACACGAAUCACCCAAUCCGCAAAUCAGUCUUGUCUGCAUAACUGCUUUGAGUUAUAGUAGCGUUGGCCCAGUCCAUUCUUGGGGCGAUAAAUUACUGGGUUGUUAAUCUAUAACUGGAUUCUGAAUCGUUCUGAAUUCAUGGGUCCAAAUCAUCACGGUUUUAACGGCCGUCUUUUAGUUUGGAAAUGACAUCUGAUAAUCGGAGACGUUUGCAGACUUUUACCUUAUUUGCUUUAACUUAAUUAACUUACAACGCAUUUUAGCGGUUAACUGCUCCAUUGUGACGGCAUUUCUUUCGUUGGGGUCUGGACCUUUGAUUUUGGACGCAAGCGAUCAAGCUUUGUACUGUUCCAAACUUCAAGAAGAUGGAUUUGUUAUGUAGGUAAUACGAUAAAUAUGAGAAAGAAAUUGUCAAAAAAUAAACGUUGUUUAUCAUUA